rnacentral:rRNA from 1 species
UACGUAGGAUGCAAGCGUUGUCCGGAAUUAUUGGGCGUAAAGAGCUCGUAGGCGGCUUGUCGCGUCGUUCGUGAAAACCUGGGGCUCAACCCCAGGCUUGCGGGCGAUACGGGCAGGCUAGAGUUCGGUAGGGGAGACUGGAAUUCCUGGUGUAGCGGUGAAAUGCGCAGAUAUCAGGAGGAACACCGGUGGCGAAGGCGGGUCUCUGGGCCGAUACUGACGCUGAGGAGCGAAAGCGUGGGGAGCGAACAGG